GGGUUGUGAGGUUAAGCGACUAAGCGUACACGGUGGAUGCCCUGGCAGUCAGAGGCGAUGAAGGACGUGCUAAUCUGCGAUAAGCGUCGGUAAGGUGAUAUGAACCGUUAUAACCGGCGAUUUCCGAAUGGGGAAACCCAGUGUGAUUCGUCACACUAUCAUUAACUGAAUCCAUAGGUUAAUGAGGCGAACCGGGGGAACUGAAACAUCUAAGUACCCCGAGGAAAAGAAAUCAACCGAGAUUCCCCCAGUAGCGGCGAGCGAACGGGGAGCAGCCCAGAGCCUGAAUCAGUGUGUGUGUUAGUGGAAGCGUCUGGAAAGGCGCGCGAUACAGGGUGACAGCCCCGUACACAAAAAUGCACAUACUGUGACUGCGUACCUUUUGUAUAAUGGGUCAGCGACUUAUAUUCUGUAGCAAGGUUAACCGAAUAGGGGAGCCGAAGGGAAACCGAGUCUUAACUGGGCGUUAAGUUGCAGGGUAUAGACCCGAAACCCGGUGAUCUAGCCAUGGGCAGGUUGAAGGUUGGGUAACACUAACUGGAGGACCGAACCGACUAAUGUUGAAAAAUUAGCGGAUGACUUGUGGCUGGGGGUGAAAGGCCAAUCAAACCGGGAGAUAGCUGGUUCUCCCCGAAAGCUAUUUAGGUAGCGCCUCGUGAAUUCAUCUCCGGGGGUAGAGCACUGUUUCGGCAAGGGGGUCAUCCCGACUUACCAACCCGAUGCAAACUGCGAAUACCGGAGAAUGUUAUCACGGGAGACACACGGCGGGUGCUAACGUCCGUCGUGAAGAGGGAAACAACCCAGACCGCCAGCUAAGGUCCCAAAGUCAUGGUUAAGUGGGAAACGAUGUGGGAAGGCCCAGACAGCCAGGAUGUUGGCUUAGAAGCAGCCAUCAUUUAAAGAAAGCGUAAUAGCUCACUGGUCGAGUCGGCCUGCGCGGAAGAUGUAACGGGGCUAAACCAUGCACCGAAGCUGCGGCAGCGACGCUUAUGCGUUGUUGGGUAGGGGAGCGUUCUGUAAGCCUGUGAAGGUGUGCUGUGAGGCAUGCUGGAGGUAUCAGAAGUGCGAAUGCUGACAUAAGUAACGAUAAAGCGGGUGAAAAGCCCGCUCGCCGGAAGACCAAGGGUUCCUGUCCAACGUUAAUCGGGGCAGGGUGAGUCGACCCCUAAGGCGAGGCCGAAAGGCGUAGUCGAUGGGAAACAGGUUAAUAUUCCUGUACUUGGUGUUACUGCGAAGGGGGGACGGAGAAGGCUAUGUUGGCCGGGCGACGGUUGUCCCGGUUUAAGCGUGUAGGCUGGUUUUCCAGGCAAAUCCGGAAAAUCAAGGCUGAGGCGUGAUGACGAGGCACUACGGUGCUGAAGCAACAAAUGCCCUGCUUCCAGGAAAAGCCUCUAAGCAUCAGGUAACAUCAAAUCGUACCCCAAACCGACACAGGUGGUCAGGUAGAGAAUACCAAGGCGCUUGAGAGAACUCGGGUGAAGGAACUAGGCAAAAUGGUGCCGUAACUUCGGGAGAAGGCACGCUGAUAUGUAGGUGAAGUCCCUCGCGGAUGGAGCUGAAAUCAGUCGAAGAUACCAGCUGGCUGCAACUGUUUAUUAAAAACACAGCACUGUGCAAACACGAAAGUGGACGUAUACGGUGUGACGCCUGCCCGGUGCCGGAAGGUUAAUUGAUGGGGUCAGCGCAAGCGAAGCUCUUGAUCGAAGCCCCGGUAAACGGCGGCCGUAACUAUAACGGUCCUAAGGUAGCGAAAUUCCUUGUCGGGUAAGUUCCGACCUGCACGAAUGGCGUAAUGAUGGCCAGGCUGUCUCCACCCGAGACUCAGUGAAAUUGAACUCGCUGUGAAGAUGCAGUGUACCCGCGGCAAGACGGAAAGACCCCGUGAACCUUUACUAUAGCUUGACACUGAACAUUGAGCCUUGAUGUGUAGGAUAGGUGGGAGGCUUUGAAGUGUGGACGCCAGUCUGCAUGGAGCCGACCUUGAAAUACCACCCUUUAAUGUUUGAUGUUCUAACGUUGACCCGUAAUCCGGGUUGCGGACAGUGUCUGGUGGGUAGUUUGACUGGGGCGGUCUCCUCCUAAAGAGUAACGGAGGAGCACGAAGGUUGGCUAAUCCUGGUCGGACAUCAGGAGGUUAGUGCAAUGGCAUAAGCCAGCUUGACUGCGAGCGUGACGGCGCGAGCAGGUGCGAAAGCAGGUCAUAGUGAUCCGGUGGUUCUGAAUGGAAGGGCCAUCGCUCAACGGAUAAAAGGUACUCCGGGGAUAACAGGCUGAUACCGCCCAAGAGUUCAUAUCGACGGCGGUGUUUGGCACCUCGAUGUCGGCUCAUCACAUCCUGGGGCUGAAGUAGGUCCCAAGGGUAUGGCUGUUCGCCAUUUAAAGUGGUACGCGAGCUGGGUUUAGAACGUCGUGAGACAGUUCGGUCCCUAUCUGCCGUGGGCGCUGGAGAACUGAGGGGGGCUGCUCCUAGUACGAGAGGACCGGAGUGGACGCAUCACUGGUGUUCGGGUUGUCAUGCCAAUGGCACUGCCCGGUAGCUAAAUGCGGAAGAGAUAAGUGCUGAAAGCAUCUAAGCACGAAACUUGCCCCGAGAUGAGUUCUCCCUGACUCCUUGAGAGUCCUGAAGGAACGUUGAAGACGACGACGUUGAUAGGCCGGGUGUGUAAGCGCAGCGAUGCGUUGAGCUAACCGGUACUAAUGAACCGUGAGGCUUAACCUUACAACGCCGAAGGUGUUU
rnacentral:rRNA from 1 species